GGGGAAUAUUGCGCAAUGGGGGCAACCCUGACGCAGCCAUGCCGCGUGAAUGAAGAAGGCCUUCGGGUUGUAAAGUUCUUUCGGUAUCGAGGAAGGCAUUUAGUUUAAUAGACUAGGUGAUUGACGUUAACUACAGAAGAAGCACCGGCUAACUCCGUGCCAGCAGCCGCGGUAAUACGGAGGGUGCGAGCGUUAAUCGGAAUAACUGGGCGUAAAGGGCACGCAGGCGGUGACUUAAGUGAGGUGUGAAAGCCCCGGGCUUAACCUGGGAAUUGCAUUUCAUACUGGGUCGCUAGAGUACUUUAGGGAGGGGUAGAAUUCCACGUGUAGCGGUGAAAUGCGUAGAGAUGUGGAGGAAUACCGAAGGCGAAGGCAGCCCCUUGGGAAUGUACUGACGCUCAUGUGCGAAAGCGUGGGGAGCAAACAGGAUUAGAUACCCUGGUAGUCCACGCUGUAAACGAUGUCGAUUUGGGGGUUGAACUUUGAGUUUGGCGCCCGUAGCUAACGUGAUAAAUCGACCGCCUGGGGAGUACGGCCGCAAGGUUA
rnacentral:rRNA from 1 species